UGGUCAUCAUAUUAGUGAUGUUUCUAGAAGAGUGCGAUUGUGUCCUGUUUAUGAGUAUUUGAGGCUAGCUAUGGUUGGGCUUAUAAUUAAUUAGGCUGAAGGCCUUGCUAGUCUCUUCUAUUUGAGGCUAGGCCCAACGUACUAUUUGAAGGUUUUUGGUGGUUGCACACAUUCCAGGUCAUUGUCAGUUUAGAGCUUGAUGGUGUUGCUCGUUUUCGUUUCGUUUUCCCAGGGAACAGAGGACCCUGCG